rnacentral:lncRNA from 1 species
GACUUGUUUUAUUGAAGAAUUCCAGAACAUCAGAGGGACAGACACGUCAGAGAACCGCUCAUCUAAAAAAACAUGUGUUAGAAAACCAGCAAGAUGGAGAGCUGUCACACACUACUGCUGUGGUCGCCUAGGAGACACGCAUGUCACUGUUACCGGAUCGUCUAGGAGACACGCAUGUCACUGUUACAGGGUCGCCUAGGAGACACACGCAUGUCACUGUUACAGGGUCGCCUAGGAGACACACGCAUGUCACUGUUACAGGGUCGCCUAGGAGACACACGCAUGUCACUGUUACAGGGUCGCCUAGGAGACACAAGCAUGUCACUCUGUCCAGAAUGUUUCUCAUGAUCCUCUUCCUCUUUCUUAUUGGACAACACACUUUCAACACGCUUAGAACAUGUUUAAUGUAAAAACAGGAACAUUUAGACAAAGCAAGGGAACGUCAGGGAGAACCGUUAAUUAACCAGGAAUAAGGUAGAACCCUAGGAGAACCAACUGUGGAGGAGGGGGGCACAGGAACACAAGUCACUAUGGGACGGGACGCGCUUUGCUUCCUACACAAUCAUGAAAUGCUGUUUAAUUAAAAAAGAUUUUAGUGUGUUCAUCUUGCCUGCAGACACUUUGUUGAUAUGACCACUGCAGAUCUACAUUAUAUUACUCAGCUUUGCUUUGUGCUAAAAAUCUGUACGGAUAGUAGAUAGUAUACUUAUAAAAUCACUGAUAAAAAUAUUCCUCUGUUAACAAUAUGUCUUGGAGGGGGACCACGAACACUGGGGCAGGCUGGUGGGAAGGGUUGGGGUCGGAGGUCAGGGGUUGGCAGUGUUGCUACUCAGACUUGGCUUCCUCCUUCUCUGCCUCGGGAGCAUCCUCAAUCUGCAGGGUCAGAGGUUAGAGGUCAGUAUAACAACCUGACAUUCCUGUUGGUAGUUUCUCAUCCUAAGCAGGAGCUUAUCUCUGCCAUCAAGCUGACCAAUGUCUUCUAAUGUCCCUUUAUGACCAGCCUCAUGUCCCCUACAGUCCAUGAUGUCUUUCUAGUUCCUCCUAGUAGUGUACAUAAGCAAUAAGGCCCGAGGGGGUGUGAUAUACGGCCAAUAUACCACGGCUAAGGGCUGUUCUUAUGCAUGACGCAUCGCGGAGUGCCUGGAUACAGCCCUUAGCCGUGGUAUAUUGGCCAUAUAUCAC